AGCAGCCGCGGUAAUUCCAGCUCCAAUAGCGUAUAUUAAAGUUGUUGCAGUUAAAAAGCUCGUAGUUGAAUUUCGGGGUUAGUAGGUUGGUCAUGCCUCUGGUAUGUACUGGUCUCACUGAUUCCUCCUUCCUGAUGAGCCGUAAUGCCAUUAAUUUGGUGUUGCGGGGAAUUUGGACUGUUACUUUGAAAAAAUUAGAGUGUUUAAAGCAAGCUAACGCUUGAAUACAUUAGCAUGGAAUAAUGAAAUAGGACGUUCGAUCCUAUUUUGUUGGUUUCUAGGAUUGACGUAAUGAUUAAUAGGGAUAGUUGGGGGCAUUAGUAUUCAAUUGUCAGAGGUGAAAUUCUUGGAUUUAUUGAAGACUAACUACUGCGAAAGCAUUUGCCAAGGAUGUUUUCAUUAAUCAAGAACGAAAGUUAGGGGAUCGAAGACGAUCAGAUACCGUCGUAGUCUUAACCAUAAACUAUGCCGACUAGGGAUCGGAUGAUGUUAAUUUAAUGACUCA
rnacentral:rRNA from 1 species